GGGCCCGUGGCCUAGAAUGGAUCAGGGCGCUGUUUUUUAGUGCAAGCCUCCGAAGCCGGAGAUCGCGGGUUCAAGUCCCGCCGGGCCCU
rnacentral:tRNA from 1 species